UUUCGUUAUAGUUUGGCUUUGAAUGGAAGUACAAUACAAAUGCUGAUUUAAAAUUUUGAAUGCAAAACAAAAUUAAAUUAUAAAAGAAUAAAUGAUCUGGACGAAAAUUAAUGCUAGUAGUCUAGUACUAAUUUCUUUGAUUUGCAGAGAAAAAAAAGAUGCUAAGAGCAUGAGAGUGGUUAAUUUUGUGAGUGUCUCAUAAUUUAAAAUAAUAAUAAAAAAAUGUAAAUGCAAAGCAAGAAAAAGGAAGAAAAUCGAUUUAAAAAAAAAAGACUCAAAUCUCUUCACGAGAGACUAUUCUUCAUGUGUCAACUUCUAAAUGCUUAAAUUACUUAAAAGAUAAAGAAAGAUAAUUAAAUAAUUAAAAAAAUAUAUAUAUUACCUUUGUUGAGAGACUCAACCAACAUAUACUGUUACUGAUGCUCUAAUCACAUGUAUGCAGAUUUAAUAUUUUUACUCUCUGUUGAUUAUUUAGAAUGAGUUUU
rnacentral:lncRNA from 1 species